rnacentral:lncRNA from 1 species
AUUAUAAUGCCUGCGUCCCAAUGUGCAUACUAUCCAUCCUAAAUUCUAUGUGAUAUUAGUAAUUUUCAAUACUAUUUAGGGCAGAUAGGGUGGAUAGUAUGCACAUUGGGACGCAGGGAAUGAAUCAUUCUUUGGAAAUCUCUUCAGUGAAUCGAUCAAACGGCUCGGCAACCGGUUUGAAUCGUUUUCGCGAUUCAGCGUGAUUCAACUCGGACGGUUCACUCAAUCUUUUUGAAGCGGUUUGUCAGUCGGCAAACGUGAUAGGGAACUUCAAGAAGGAUAAAAACGCAUAUUGAACUUCUAUACAGUCUGCUUGAAAGCAAACCUGCAAGUUCUUGUUGUUUUUCCAGCGAUGAAGAUUCAUUAUGACCAACACGCGCACGUGCGUCCCGAGAACCCCUCUACUGCAGAAAGAAGGAAAAGAUGGCUUGAAAGAAUGCGAGAGCGAGCGAGAACGAGGCAUCUGAGGACGUGUCUGAAUACAGGAAGUUAUUUUAGAAGAUCUGGGUGGUGGAGGAGCGCUUGUCUUGUUCUAAAACGUGCACGCUGGCAAAGUGAGUGACGUCAUCCUGUCUCUUGACAUAACUUACAGCUGAGACCAUUUACUCAUCACCAUCAGCACUCUUUUGUAAAAUGAUUAUGCCAUGUUCAUUGUGGUUUGUCGUUUUAAACUGUUUAGCCAGACUACUGACUUUCAGCAUCAAAUCUCUUCCAGAUUGAAGCUCAUUUUGGUCAAAAACUGCCCACUUGUGCACCUUAUUUUUAACGUAAGAGCAGGUGCAGCCAUUUGUAAGUUGAAUGUGCAAGGGUUCCUGUGUCAGCC